AUAUCUUUCUCGGCCUUUUGGCUAAGAUUAAGUGUAGUAUUUGUUCUUGUCAGAGCCAAUGACCUACCCAGUAUUAAAUUAAUUUUUUUUAGGAAAAGGACCUACCAAAGUAGCUUGCUAAUGGGACUUUUAAGCGUCGCCCAUGCUAUAGCCAUGCAUAGCACUAUAGCAUGGGCCUGACGCACUUGGU